UUUAUAAGUGAAUAUUUAAUAUUUUUAAAAUUAAUAGGUAAAAAUUGAAAAUAUCAUUAAACUUUAGGUGCCAACAAGUCCUUGGGCCUAUUUUAAUUUUGGCCUUAAGGACUAUUUCCUGCCAAGGUAUACUGUUUUCUCAAGAUUUCCUCCGUUAACUUUGAAAAUCUCGUUUACUUACUCGUGGAUAGUUAAAAUUAACAGUUUUAGGGAUAAAAUUAUCAUUUUAUCUGUAUUAUAAAAAAUAAACUUAAAUUUGAUUUAAUUUUCCUUCCUAAACCAUAAAAACUAACAAUUUUCUCUAACCUAAGUUUUAAAAAACAAUAUUUUUCCCCCUAAGGUUUUCAAUUUUUCAGACUCAAUUUUUUAGGUGUCGCUUCUUCCUCUCCAGUGACCUUUAGGCAAUGCCUCUUUCUCUCCAAUACGAUCUCCAAUACAAUAUUUUGAAGGCCCGUGGAGCCACACUUCCGAAAUCCUGGAAGACACCAAUGACUGUAGCAAAUCCUGGAGAAAUUCCUGAGUAUGAGCUUAAUCCACAAGAGCUUCAGGUUCGGAAGUCAGAUGGUAUAAAGGCAAGGUUCUGUUCUUUUUAAUCCAUUAUAAAUUAGGUGGAAUCUGUAGAAGUUUGUGAAAUUUUGUUUGUUUGUUUGUUUGAGAAUUUAGUUCUCAGAAAUGAAAAGAAAUUGUGAACUCGGAACAACUGAAAAACAAUGCAUCAAGUUAAAAAUUGGAUUAA